rnacentral:rRNA from 1 species
ACGCUCGACACCUACGGGAGACAGCAGUGAGGAAUAUUGGUCAAUGGACGCAAGUCUGAACCAGCCAUGCCGCGUGCAGGAUGACGGCUCUAUGAGUUGUAAACUGCUUUUGUACGAGGGUAAACGCAGAUACGUGUAUCUGUCUGAAAGUAUCGUACGAAUAAGGAUCGGCUAACUCCGUGCCAGCAGCCGCGGUAAUCUGAGCGGGCUGGCAAGGC